GACGAACGCUGGCGGCGUGCUUAACACAUGCAAGUCGAACGGAAAGGCCCUGCUUGCAGGGUACUCGAGUGGCGAACGGGUGAGUAACACGUGGGUGAUCUGCCCUGCACUUCGGGAUAAGCCUGGGAAACUGGGUCUAAUACCGGAUAGGAGCCAUCUUUAGUGUGAUGGUUGGAAAGUUUUUUCGGUGUAGGAUGAGCUCGCGGCCUAUCAGCUUGUUGGUGGGGUAAUGGCCUACCAAGGCGGCGGCGGGUAGCCGGCCUGGGAGGGUGGACGGCCACAUUGGGACUGAGAUACGGCCCAGAAUCCUACGGGAGGCAGGAGUGGGGAAUAUUGCACAAAGGGCGGGAGCCUGAUGCAGCGACGCCGCGGGGGGGAUGACGGCCUUCGGGUUGGAAACUCCUUUCGCUAGGGACGAAGCUUUUUGUGACGGUACCUAGAUAAGAAGCACCGGCUAACUACGUG
rnacentral:rRNA from 1 species